rnacentral:rRNA from 1 species
GACGAACGCUGGCGGCGUGCUUAACACAUGCAAGUCGAACGAAAAGAGGGAAAGAGCUUGCUCUUUCCGGAAUUGAGUGGCAAACGGGUGAGUAACACGUAAACAACCUGCCUUCAGGAUGGGGACAACAGACGGAAACGACUGCUAAUACCGAAUAAGUUCCAAGGGCCGCAUGGCCCAUGGAAGAAAAGGUGGCCUCUACCUGUAAGCUAUCGCCUGAAGAGGGGUUUGCGUCUGAUUAGCUGGUUGGAGGGGUAACGGCCCACCAAGGCGACGAUCAGUAGCCGGUCUGAGAGGAUGAACGGCCACACUGGAACUGAGACACGGUCCAGACUCCUACGGGAGGCAGCAGUGGGGAAUCUGCCGCAAUGGGCGAAAGCCUGACGGAGCAACGCCGCGUGAGUGAUGACGGCCUUCGGGUUGUAAAACUCUGUGAUCCGGGACGAAAAGGCAGAGUGCGAAGAACAAACUGCAUUGACGGUACCGGAAAAGCAAGCCACGGCUAACUACGUG